AAUAAAAUAAAAUAAAAUAAAAUAAAAUAAAAUAAAAUAAAAUAAAAUAAAAUAAAAUAAAAUAAAAUAAAAUAAAAUAAAAUAAAAUAAAAUAAAAUAAAAUAAAAUAAAUAAAAAAGAGUACCCAGACUGCCCCAGCAGACAUGGUGUGCUGGGUUCACACUGGUGGGUGCAAGAAAGUGAUGAUAUGGGUGCAGGAACAGAUUAUUCUUGAUUAUUCCAGAUUCUGUCAGGAGUCUAUUGGGAAAUAAAUUCAGUGAAGUCCCAGAACAGAUUUUCUCAACACUGAUAUCACAGCAGGAGGAAAUCCGGGAGGUCACUGAAUUAGGCUUAAUGUUCUCUCCCAGCCUGUGACAGAGAAGCCUUUCCUAUCUGUGGAGGUGGGAAUCAUCUGUUAGGGUGCUGCCCUCCUUAUUGUACGAAAUGUCUCAAAUGGUGCCCCGAGGGCAUAUAUAUAUACCCAGUGCAGGGUAACCAUGCAGUCGGUCCGUAUGAAAUGGUUUUGCAAGGAACGGAGUGAAGGGAAUUGUUUAACAGGGCAGGACUUCUAUGCUCAUCACAGCCACCUGAGGCAUUGUAUUUUUUUUUUUUAUUUUAUUUUUUCACAAGCAAAGGGCAUUCAGAUGCUCUCAAUCCUCACAUUUCUGAAUCACAUGUAACACAACUCGGAUGAACAAUGCCAGUCCCCAGGAGCCAACGUGUUGUGCCCCUCCCUGGCCACAAACCUCCUCUGACCUGCUAACACCAGAUCUCUGGCUCCUUGGGAGAGAUGCAGGACAGAAGAGACCUGUUGAUGGAGAUUUUCCACGUGUGAACAGGCCUGACAGCAGCCAGAGGUGAUGGAGAUGCUCCGAACAGACACACAGGAGCAGGGAGAGUUUGGCUGCACUCUCAAGGCUGAGGCAUCACAAAAACACUCCUGCACUGCGCCUGAAGCACGCCAAGCCCCAGGUUUGGCAGGAGGCGAGGGGGUCACUGUGCAGAUUUCUCAACUUGAACAGGAGAAAGCCUGGCCUCAAACCCUCACCGUGCAGGCAGGGAAAUGGGCUCUGGCUGCAAGAAAUCCUGGAGCACGGGAAACGUGUCCUUUUGGCUAUCAGGAUGGGCAGCCCUGUCACUGCCCAGGGUGUAAAACAGCUUUUGGGCAUUGCUCCCUGGUCCUGCUGGCUGGAUCCAUGGGGAAAA
rnacentral:lncRNA from 1 species